CUGGCUCCGCCUCCCGGCCCCGGGCCCCACCCUGAACCUGACCCUCCAGUGCCCUGGCGACCACCCGCCCCAGACCGCCCUUCCGAACGUCCACGGCCGGUUCUGGGACGUCUUGACUGGCAAGGCCUUCGCCAGCACCUAUCUCUUCUACGGCGCCUACCGAGCGGGACCCGAGAGCGGCUCGGCCUACAGCAUCCGCCUGGCCUACCUCCUCAGCCCCUUGGCCUGCCUGAUCCUCUGCUUCUGCGGGACGCUGCAGCGGUGAGGACUGAGCCACUUUCGGGGGUCUUCUGGGGUCACCCCUCCCUCGGCUAAUGCCCCCCAGGUGGCUGGGAGGCCCUUGACCCUAAUCAAAAAGGCUCCUCCGGGGCUCCGGGGCCCGGAUUCUGCGCCUCUGGCUGCCGCCCCUGCCCACCCCCUGCCCCGCCCCAGGCCAAGGCCAAGGCCUGCGCUUGGCCGCCGGGCCCUCCCCACCCCAGAGCCCAGCCAGGGCAGGGGCCGGCGGAGGUGCCCCUGUCCGGCAGCCCCCGGCCUCGCCCCCGCAGGAUGGUGAAGGGGCUGCCCCAGAGGCUGUUCCUGGGCCAGGACUACCGGACGCCGCUCAGCGCCCA
rnacentral:lncRNA from 1 species